rnacentral:tmRNA from 25 species
GGGGGUGUUACGGUUUCGACUAGGAAGUGAAAAAUUGAUUGCAUGCGGAGGAUAUCGGUUGGCCUCCUAAAAAAACCGGUAAAACAAUAAAUGCUAACAAUAGCAAUAAAAUUGCAAAAGUUGACUUCCAGGAAGGGACUUUUGCUAGAGCUGCGUAAGACCUAACAGUCUUGGUAGCCCGAUAGUCUGAAACUGGACCGAGGGUUUUAGAAUCUAUCGUCAUUUUCUUGGUAUGAAUUCUUUUUCUCGCCGCUUCUAGGGAAAAGUUUUCAAGAUUAAAUGAAGCAAACUAACUUCGAUUGUUGCGUUCUGCAUAGGAGUUAGGGAUUUUACAGAACGAUAAGCAUGUAGUGGUCAAUUCGUAAUUUGCCAAGGACGAGAGUUCAAUUCUCUCCACCUCCAAUU